rnacentral:rRNA from 1 species
GAUGAACGCUGGCGGCGUGCCUAAUACAUGCAAGUCGAGCGAACAGACGAGGAGCUUUCUCCUCUGACGUUAGCGGCGCACGGGUGAGUAACACAUGGAUAACCUACCUAUAAUACUUGGAUAACUUCGCGAAACCGGAUCUAAUACCCGAUAAUAUAUUGAACCGCAUUGUUCAAUAGUUAAAGACGGUUUUGCUUUCGCUUAUAGAUGGAUCCGGGUCGCCUGAGCUAGUGGCUAAGGUAACGGCUUACCAAGGCAACGAUGCGUAGCCGACCUGAGAGGGUGGUCGGACACACUGGAACUGAGACACGGUCCAGACCACUACGGGAGGCAGCAGUAGGGAAUCUUCCGCAACGGGCGGAAGCCUGACGGAGCAACGCCGCGUGAGGGAUGAAGGUCUUCGGAUCGUAAAACUAUGUUAUUAGGGAAGAAAAAAUGUGUAAGUAACUAUGCACGUCUUGACGGUACCUAAUCAGAAAGCCACGGCUAACUACGUG